CCAGGGACUCCAGUUCCUCACUGUAGUGGGUGUCCCAGUCUAAAAUAAAGUCUUUUUAAAGAAGAUGGUGAAAAAGGGAGCAGAGGUAGAUAGUGAAAUACCAUGUUUGAAACUAUAAAACAUGUCAAAUUUGUCAAGUUUGAAUAAAAGUAACUUCAUUUGUAUGUUUAUAUUUUUAAGGCAAAUGAGAAACACAUCUACAAUUAGAGUCAUCAACACUAGUCCUACCAAAGCAGUGUAAGCUUCUUAUCUGGGCUUUUAAAUGUGUGGCCAAAUGGUUAAGUCCGGUGACAGAAUAACAGUCGAUCAGUCAAAAUCUGAUACUGUUACCUAGGUAUGCCAACGAUGCUAAGAAGAAUAUGUGCAAAAGUAAAGAGGAGAGAAAUCAGAAAGAUUUAAGUGAAGAGAAUGAUCUGUUCAAGAUGGUGGUGAAUAGGACACCAACAAGUAGAUGUGUAAUGUAGCAUGAAGAGCACAAGUGGGUUGAUUUGAAAAUCUAGAAGAGUUAAUAUUCAAAACAGGGGUGGAGUGGACAGUAGUCUAGAAAACACAACUUUUAGAAUUAAAUGUUAAAAGAAUAAUUCUAUUAUUUUAGAAAGUAGGAAGGGGUCAGUUGACCAUUGUGCAGUCAAUACUACCAAUAGAAGUUGUCUUUUUUUCAGUGAGUUUUCCCAUUGAUGUUUGAUCAUUAACCCAUUUUAAAGUGGGUCAUUUUCUGCAUCACAGUUCAGUGACUGUCAGUGAUUCUCAAGCUGUCACCACGCACUUAAUAGGAAACAAUUUCGUUAGACCAGACAUGUGAGCAGUAAGUUGAUAUAGUCUGAACUGAAAUAUAGAAUGAGAAGGUGACAUGGCUUGACUCUAUGUUUCCACCCAAAUUGUAUGUGAAAUUGUAAUCACCACAUGUUGAAGGAGGAGCCUGGUGGAAGGUAAUUGGAUCAUGAGGGUGAUUUCUAAUGGUGUAAUACCAUCCCCUUGGUGCUGUCUCAUGAUAGAGUUCUCACGAGAACUGGUUGUUUAAACAUGUGUGGUACCUUCCCCUUCUCUCUAGCUCUCUCUCUUGCCACGAUGAGAAGAAGGUCCUUGCUUCCCCUUUGCUUUCCGCUGUGACUGUAAGUUUCCUGUGGCUUCCUGUUAAACCCCAAAAAUGGUUGGUUGCUUUUCUUUUUCAAAGGUAUUACUCAAUUGUUCUUAGGACUGAAAAUUAGCUUUGAUGAAUUCUAUUCUGAUAUUCCUAGCUGA
rnacentral:lncRNA from 10 species